rnacentral:rRNA from 1 species
UACGAAGGGGGCGAGCGUUGUUCGGAAUCACUGGGCGUAAAGCGUGCGUAGGCGGUUAUUUAGGUUAGAAGUGAAAGCCCAGGGCUCAACCUUGGAAUUGCUUUUAAAACUACAUAACUCGAAUUUGGGAGAGGAUAGCGGAAUUGUCAGUGUAGCAGUGAAAUGCGUAGAUAUUGACAGGAACACCAGUGGCGUAAGCGGCUAUCUGGGCCAACAUUGACGCUGAGGCACGAAAGCGUGGGGAUCAAACAGG